rnacentral:snRNA from 1 species
GUGCUCACUUUGGCAGUACACACUAAAACUGGAAUAAUACAGAGAUUAGCAUGGCCCCUGUGUAAGGAUGAUAUGCAAAAAGGAUAUGCAAAUUUAU